rnacentral:rRNA from 1 species
UAGUGGCGAAAGGGUGAGUAACACGUGAGUUAUCUACCUCAGAGACUGGGAUAACUACUGGAAACGGUAGCUAAUACCGGAUGAUAUAUAGAACGAUACGUUGUUCUAUAGUAAAAGGUGCCUUUAAAGCAUCACUUUGAGAUGAGCUUGCGACGUAUUAGCUAGUUGGUGAGGUAAUGGCUUACCAAGGCGACGAUGCGUAGCCGACCUGAGAGGGUGAUCGGCCACACUGGGACUGAGACACGGCCCAGACUCCUACGGGAGACAGCAGUUAGGGAUAUUCGUCAAUGGGGGAAACCCUGAACGAGCAAUGCCGCGUGAGUGAUGACAGUUCUAUGGAUUGUAAAACUCUGUUGUUAGGGACGAACGACCUAUAUAGGAAAUGAUAUAGGAGUGACUGUACCUUUCAAGAAAGCUCCGGCUAACUACGUGCCAGCAGCCGCGGUAAUACGUAGGGAGCGAGCGUUAUCCGGAUUUAUUGGGUGUAAAGGGUGCGUAGGCGGUUUAAUAAGUCUAAGGUCUAAGUCCGAAGCUCAACUUCGGUUCGCCUUANAAACUGUUUUACUUGAGUAUGGUAGAGGCAAGUGGAAUUUCUAGUGUAGCGGUNAAAAUGCGUAGAUAUUAGAAGGAACAUCAGUGGCGAAGGCGACUUGCUGGGCCAUUACUGACGCUGANGNCACGAAAGCGUGGGGAGCAAAUAGGAUUANGAUACCCUAGUAGUCCACCCGUAAACGAUGGAUAUAAGUGUCGGGCAACCGGUGCUGAAGUUAACACAUUAAGUAUCCCACCUGAGUAGUACGGUCGCAAGGCUGAAACUUAAAGGAAUUGACGGGCACCCGCACAAGCGGUGGAGCAUGCUGUUUAAUUCGAAGAUACGCGAAGAACCUUACCUAGACUUGACAUCCCGAUGACCGUUCUAGAAAUAGAGCUUUCCCUUCGGGGACAUCGGUGACAGGUGGUGCAUGGUUGUCGUCAGCUCGUGUCGUGAGAUGUUCGGUUAAGUCCGAUAACGAGCGCAACCCUUGUCCUUAAUUGCUAACAUUAAGUUGAGAAUCUUAAGGAGACUAUCGGCGAUAAGCCGGAGGAAGGUGGGGAUGACGUCAAAUCAUCAUGCCCCUUACGUCUAGGGCUACAGGCGUGCUACAAUGGCCAAGAUAAUGAGACGCAAUACGGUGACGUAAAGCAAAUCUUUAAAAUUGGUCCCAGUUCGGAUUGUAGUCUGCAACUCGACUACAUGAAGUUGGAAUCGCUAGUAAUCCCGAAUCAGAAUGUCGGGGUGAAUACGUUCCCGGGUGUUGUACACACCGCCCGUCACGCCAUGGGAGUUGAGAAUACCCGAAGUUGGUAGCCUAACCUUUUAGGAGGGGGCCAUCGAAGGUAGAAUCAGCGACUGGGGUG